GUUUCUGUAGAGCAAUAGAUAGCAUAUUGGACUUCUAAUCCAAAGGUCGUGGGUAUGAAUUCCACCUGAAAUG